rnacentral:rRNA from 1 species
UACGUAGGGGGGCAAGCGUUGUCCGGAUUUAUUGGGCGUAAAGAGCGUGUAGGCGGCCAUGUAGGUCCGUUGUGAAAACUCGAUGCUCAACCUCGAGACGCCGAUGGAAACCAUGUGGCUAGAGUCCGGGAAGAGGAGAGUGGAAUUCCUGGUGUAGCGGUGAAAUGCGUAGAAAUCUGGAGGAAUACCGGUGGCGAAGGCGGCCCCCUGGACAAAGACUGACGCUCAGGUGCGAAAGCGUGGGGAGCAAACAGG